rnacentral:misc_RNA from 1 species
GAUGAAGAACGCAGCGAAAUGCGAUAAGUAAUGUGAAUUGCAGAAUUCAGUGAAUCAUCGAAUCUUUGAACGCACAUUGCGCCGGCCAGUAUUCUGGCGGGCAUGCCUGUUCGAGCGUCAUUUCAACCAUCAAGCCCCGGGCUUGUGUUGGGGACCUGCGGCUGCCGCAGGCCCUGAAAUGCAGUGGCGGGCUCGCUGUCACUCCGAGCGUAGUAGUUACAUCUCGCUGUGGGCGUGCUGCGGGUUCCGGCCGUUAAAAGCCUUAUUUACCCAAGGUUGACCUCGGAUCAGGUAGGAAGACCCGCUGAACUUAAGCAUAUCAAUAAGCGGAGGA